UUCUUAUUCAGAGAGGCGGAGGGAAUUGGCCCUGUGAAACCUCGGCAGCGGGUUCUGCAUACAGCAGAAUACUGUGCCACAUCCAACAAGCCGUACGGGCUUGGAAGAUAAGAA
rnacentral:ncRNA from 23 species